CUUGACGACCAUAGAACGUUGGAACCACCUGAUCCCAUCCCGAACUCAGAAGUGAAACGAUGUAUCGCCGAUGGUAGUGUGGGGUUUCCCCAUGUGAGAGUAGGUCAUCGUCAAGC
rnacentral:rRNA from 1 species